AAAAAAGUAAGCUAAUUAAGCUACUAGUUCAUACCCUAAUUAUAAAAGUAAAUUCUUUUCUUUUUUA
rnacentral:tRNA from 1 species